rnacentral:rRNA from 1 species
GGAUAACCUGCCCUUAGGUCUGGCAUAACCCCGGGAAACUGGGGAUAAUUCCGGAUAGACCAUGGAUGCUGGAAUGCACCGUGGUCCAAAGCUUUUGUGCCUAAGGAUGGGUCUGCGGUCUAUCAGGUCGUAGUGGGUGUAAAGUACCUACUAGCCUACGACGGAUACGGGUUGUGAGAGCAAGAGCCCGGAGAUGGAUUCUGAGACAUGAAUCCAGGCCCUACGGGGCGCAGCGGGCGCGAAAACUUUACACUGCGGGAAACCGCGAUAAGGGAACACCGAGUGCCAGCAUCCUAUGUUGGCUGUCCACAUGUGUAAAUAACAUGUGUUAGCAAGGGCCGGGCAAGACCGGUGCCAGCCGCCGCGGUAACACCGGCGGCCCGAGUGGUGGCCACUAUUAUUGGGUCUAAAGGGUCCGUAGCCGGUUUGGUCAGUCUUCCGGGAAAUCUGACGGCUUAACCGUUAGGCUUCCGGGGGAUACUGCCAGACUUGGGACCGGGAGAGGUAAGAGGUACUACGGGGGUAGGAGUGAAAUCUUGUAAUCCUUGUGGGACCACCAGUGGCGAAGGCGUCUUACCAGAACGGCUUCGACAGUGAGGGACGAAAGCUGG